rnacentral:rRNA from 1 species
GAGGGGGGCUGCUCCUAGUACGAGAGGACCGGAGUGGACGCAUCACUGGUGUUCGGGUUGUCAUGCCAAUGGCACUGCCCGGUAGCUAAAUGCGGAAGAGAUAAGUGCUGAAAGCAUCUAAGCACGAAACUUGCCCCGAGAUGAGUUCUCCCUGACUCCUUGAGAGUCCUGAAGGAACGUUGAAGACGACGACGUUGAUAGGCCGGGUGUGUAAGCGCAGCGAUGCGUUGAGCUAACCGGUACUAAUGAACCGUGAGGCUUAACCUUACAACGCCGAAG